GACGAACGCUGGCGGCGUGCUUAACACAUGCAAGUCGAGCGGUAAGGCCCCUUCGGGGGUACGACGAGCGGCGAACGGGUGAGUAACACGUGGGUGACCUGCCCUCAGCUCUGGGAUAAGCCUGGGAAACUGGGUCUAAUACCGGAUAUGACUCCAUGACGCAUGUCGUGGGGUGGAAAGCCUUGUGCGGCUGGGGAUGGGCCCGCGGCCCAUCAGCUUGUUGGUGGGGUGAUGGCCUACCAAGGCGACGACGGGUAGCCGGCCUGAGAGGGC
rnacentral:rRNA from 1 species